rnacentral:rRNA from 1 species
GUGCCAGCCGCCGCGGUAAUACGGAGGGGGCGAGCGUUAUUCGGAAUUAUUGGGCGUAAAGGGCGCGUAGGCGGCUUGUUAAGUCAAAGGUGAAAUCCCUCGGCUCAACUGAGGAACUGCCUUUGAAACUAGCGAGCUUGAGGCCGGGAGGGGGUAGCGGAAUUCCCAGUGUAGCGGUGAAAUGCGUAGAUAUUGGGAGGAACACCAGUGGCGAAGGCGGCUACCUGGACCGGUUCUGACGCUGAGGCGCGAAAGCGUGGGUAGCAAACAGGAUUAGAAACCCCAGUAGUCC